rnacentral:rRNA from 1 species
GAUGAACGCUGGCGGCGUGCCUAAUACAUGCAAGUCGAGCGAAUGGAUUAAGAGCUUGCUCUUAUGAAGUUAGCGGCGGACGGGUGAGUAACACGUGGGUAACCUGCCCAUAAGACUGGGAUAACUCCGGGAAACCGGGGCUAAUACCGGAUAACAUUUUGAACCGCAUGGUUCGAAAUUGAAAGGCGGCGUCGGCUGUCACUUAUGGAUGGACACGCGUCGCAUUAGCUAGUUGGUGAGGUAACGGCUCACCAAGGCAACGAUGCGUAGCCGACCUGAGAGGGUGAUCGGCCACACUGGGACUGAGACACGGCCCAGACUCCUACGGGAGGCAGCAGUAGGGAAUCUUCCGCAAUGGACGAAAGUCUGACGGAGCAACGCCGCGUGAGUGAUGAAGGCUUUCGGGUCGUAAAACUCUGUUGUUAGGGAAGAACAAGUGCUAGUUGAAUAAGCUGACACCUUGACGGUACCUAACCAGAAAGCCACGGCUAACUACGUGCCAGCCGCCGCAGUAA